AUGAAGCAAUACAUCUGCUCAGGGCUGGGGCAGAGGAAGGGAGAAGUGUGAGGCCAUUGUCAAGGAAACCGCCCAGAAGCUCCUCUUCGCCUGGCAGAGGGCUCCCCCACCCCCAGCAGCCCAGGACGGGGGCGAGCGGCCAAGGAUGGGGGCUAGCAGCCAAGGACAGGGGCGCGCCGCACCUCUAAGGAGAUCACGGAUCUCUGCAGGCUCCUUCCAAUAAACCACUCCCCAGGCACUAAGGCACUCAAGACCUCCGGCAGGCAUGGAUUUCUUCUUUUUCACUACUUCCUCUCCCGAUGAAAUGAGUAAGAGAGCACAAGCAGGGGGUGCGGCAGAGGGAGAGGGAGAAGCAGGCUCCCCACUGAGCAGGGAGCCGAUGUGGAACCCGAUGCGGGGCUGUCCUGGGAUCCUGACCUGAGCUGAAGGCAGAAGCUUAACCAACUGAGCCACCCAUUCUUACCCUCAUUGAAAAACUCAUUGAAAUUUUCUUGUAAGACUCAUAAAAUCUCAUAUCAAAAAUAAGUCUAUAUUCUCUAAAAUAACUUAGAAAUUUACAUUUUACUGUAAACCAAAUUCUUCUUAUAAACCUAAUCUGUGCCAAUCCAAUGCCUUUAUAAAUGAAGCAGAAAAUAUGUUUAAUUCA